rnacentral:rRNA from 1 species
CAGGGAUUGCCCUAGUAACGGCGAGUGAAGCGGCAAUAGCUCAAAUUUGAAAGCUGGCCUUCGGGUCCGCAUUGUAAUUUGUAGAGGAUGCUUUGGGGUGGCCGCCUGUCUAAGUUCCUUGGAACAGGACGUCAUAGAGGGUGAGAAUCCCGUAUGUGACAGGAAAUGGCGCCCUAUGUAAAGCUCCUUCGACGAGUCGAGUUGUUUGGGAAUGCAGCUCUAAAUGGGAGGUAAAUUUCUUCUAAAGCUAAAUACUGGCGAGAGACCGAUAGCGCACAAGUAGAGUGAUCGAAAGAUGAAAAGCACUUUGGAAAGAGAGUUAAAAAGCACGUGAAAUUGUUGAAAGGGAAGGGCUUGCAAUCAGACUUGUCCAAACCGUUCGGCCGGUCUUCUGACCGGUUUACUCGGUUUGGACAGGCCAGCAUCAGUUUCGGCGGCCGGAUAAAGGCUCUGGGAAUGUGGCCUCCACUUCGGUGGAGGUGUUAUAGCCCAGUGUGUAAUACGGCCAGCCGGGACUGAGGUCCGCGCUUCGGCUAGGAUGCUGGCGUAAUGGUUGUAAGCCACCCGUCUUGAAACACGGACCAAGGAGUCUAACAUCUAUGCGAGUGUUCGGGUGUCAAACCCCUGCGCGUAAUGAAAGUGAACGGAGGUGGGAACCCGCAAGGGUGCACCAUCGACCGAUCCUGAUGUCUUCGGAUGGAUUUGAGUAAGAGCAUAGCUGUUGGGACCCGAAAGAUGGUGAACUAUGCCUGAAUAGGGUGAAGCCAGAGGAAACUCUGGUGGAGGCUCGCAGCGGUUCUGACGUGCAAAUCGAUCGUCAAAUUUGGGUAUAGG